rnacentral:rRNA from 1 species
ACGGCUACCUUGUUACGACUUCACCCCAGUCACCAGGCCUGCCUUCGGCUGCUCCCCCCUUUCGGUUGGGCCACAGACUUCGGGCAUUCCCGGCUCCCAUGGUGUGACGGGCGGUGUGUACAAGACCCGGGAACGUAUUCACCGCGGCAUUCUGAUCCGCGAUUACUAGCGAUUCCAGCUUCGUGCAGCCGGGUUGCAGGCUGCAGUCCGAACUGGGACGUUAUUUUUGGGGUCCGCUUACCCUCGCAGGCUCGCUUCCCUUUGUUUACGCCAUUGUAGCACGUGUGUAGCCCAGCCCAUAAGGGGCAUGAUGAUUUGACGUCAUCCCCACCUUCCUCCGGGUUAUCCCCGGCAGUCCCCCCAGAGUGCCCGGCUCUUCCGCUGGCUACUGGGGGUAAGGGUUGCGCUCGUUGCGGGACUUAACCCAACAUCUCACGACACGAGCUGACGACAACCAUGCACCACCUGUCUCCCCUGUCCCGAAAGCCUGGCGCCAUU